GACGAACGCUGGCGGCGCGCUUAACACAUGCAAGUCGAGCGAUGAAACUUUAACAGAACCCUUCGGGGCGAAGAUAAAGUGGAUUAGCGGCGGACGGGUGAGUAACACGUGAGUAACCUGCAUUAGACAUUGGGAUAGCCUCGGGAAACCGGGAUUAAUACCAACUAAAAUCAUAAUGACACAUGUCAUAACGAUCAAAACUCCGGUGGUCUAAGAUGGAUUCGCGUCCCAUUAGCUAGUUGGUAGAGUAAAAGCCUACCAAGGCGACGAUGGGUAGCCGGGCGGAGAGGGUGAAACGCUACGUUGGAACUGAGAAACGGUCCAAACUCCUACGGAAGGGAGCAGUGGGGAAUAUUGCACAAUGGAGGGAACUCUGAUGCAGCGACGCCGCGGGAACGAAGAAGGCUUUCGAGUCGUAAAGUUCUUUUAUAUGGGAAGAGAAUGACGGUACCAUAAGAAAAAGCCCCGGCUAACUACGUG
rnacentral:rRNA from 1 species